rnacentral:rRNA from 1 species
UACGUAGGGUCCGAGCGUUGUCCGGAAUUACUGGGCGUAAAGAGCUCGUAGGUGGUUUGUCGCGUUGUUCGUGAAAACUCACAGCUCAACUGUGGGCGUGCGGGCGAUACGGGCAGACUGGAGUACUGCAGGGGAGACUGGAAUUCCUGGUGUAGCGGUGGAAUGCGCAGAUAUCAGGAGGAAUACCGGUGGCGAAAGCGACUCUCUGGACGGCAACUGACGCUGAGGCACGAAAGCGUGGGGAGCAAACAGG